rnacentral:rRNA from 1 species
GUGGGGAAUAUUGGGCAAUGGGGGCAACCCUGACCCAGCAACGCCGCGUGAGGGAAGAAGGUUUUCGGAUUGUAAACCUCUGUCCUAUGGGAAGAAGGAAGUGACGGUACCAUAGGAGGAAGCCCCGGCUAACUACGUGCCAGCAGCCGCGGUAAUACGUAGGGGGCGAGCGUUGUCCGGAAUUACUGGGCGUAAAGAGUGCGCAGGUGGCCUGACAAGUCAGAUGUGAAAUACCGAUGCUUAACGUCGGGGCUGCAUUUGAAACUAUGGGGCUGGAGUGCAGGAGAGGGAAGCGGAAUUCCUAGUGUAGCGGUGAAAUGCAUAGAUAUUAGGAGGAACACCAGUGGCGAAGGCGGCUUUCUGGACUGUAACUGACACUGAGGCACGAAAGCGUGGGGAGCAAUCAGGAUUAGAUACCCGAGUAGUCC